CCCUUUUACCUUUGUUUAAUGCUCUGAAAGAUUUUCUCUCCCAGGCAAGAAGCAGCAGCCACUGAGUUGGAGACCACAUGGAGCAGGGGGCUUCUGACAAGCAGGAUCAAUGGAGAAGUUGCCAGUGAAAUAGUAAAUUAUGAUCAUGUGAUGUCUCCCUUAAUGACCGUGACAAAGAUUUGGAAAUCCCGUUGGAAUUUAUUGUUUCUGCUCACACUGAGGAAACAAAGGUGCAACACCGAUUUCUCCACCCCUCCGAAGAAUAUCAUCUUCAGCUUUUACUAAACAAAAACAUCCUGGAAUAGGGGUAUUGUGCCCACGUGUACUCUUCUGUGCAUGUGCAGAUCACCUAUGAUGACGUCCGGGUCAAUGGGCGGAGCCUCCUGCCGGUUUUACUACCGGUUCUUGCGAACCCAUCCGAACCGGGGGCAACCCACCACUGGAUCACGUGAUCCGCUUUUGCAAAACUCAGUUAACAAAUGUCUCACUUAGCAACAGAAAUGUUGGGAUCAAUUAUGGUUGUAACCCGAGGACUACCUGUAAAAACAGCAUCCCAAGUGCCUCAAUGAAAAUUGGGUCGUACAUAUGAGCAAUUUAUAUGAACAUUUGUCCAAGGGAAUUAACUUUCACACACCAUCACCACCAACAUCACAACAAUAUUGUAAUAACAGUAGCACGUAAGAAUCUUUCUCUAUGAUCAAUGAAGGCCCAUUUAUUAAUUGCGUUGAGAUUUCCAUCAGACCUGUGCAUUGAUUUUGCAGGGUCCCUGGGCACCUCGUCUUUUCCCUUUUAUAAUAAAAUCAAGACAAAAGGAAGAGGCAGGUCAUAGCAGGAAAAGAAUUGGCUUACUGUUUACACUAUGAAGCAUUCUAAAAUAAACAGGAGUUGGCUACAUGUCGGAAUACCUGGAAAAGUUAUUGAAGCUGCACCUGGCUGAAGUUUUCAAUAAGGCUUUCUCCUUCCCAAUAAGGCUUUCUCCUUAUCUCUGCCACUGAUGGGACAUGUAAUAAAGUCAGGAUAGCAUAUUUUCAGCUACAGGCAGGCUAUUCUUUAAAAGGCUAAAGAGGGCAUUUUUUUCAAGUGUGGAACUGAAAUCAAUUAAUGCAUCUGAAUAUCCUGUAAAAGAUUUUGUGUAACGAAACUCCUAGAAUCUGUGACAUAGUUAUGUAGCAAAACAGCCUGUAUCUUUAGGGACAGAUAGAAACCCAUGUACCUGCUCAGAAGGUGAAUGAAUGAAUGAGUGAGUGAGUGAGUGAGUGAGUGAGUGAGUGAGUGAGUGAAAAACACCAAAAGGAGAAAAGAUCAAAGAAGUAGAAAAUAAAGGAAUAUAUAAACGGA